rnacentral:rRNA from 1 species
GGUAUUCCGUUACGAACGAGACCUUAACCUGCUAACUAGUCGCCUUUUGAAUAAAGGGGUGUACUUCUUAGAGGGACUAUUGUGCAAGAAGCCAAUGGAAGUUUAAGGCAAUAACAGGUCUGUGAUGCCCCUAGACGUGCUCGGCCGCACGCGCGUUACAAUGACUGGCGCAGAAAGUAUUUCCUGGCCUGGGAAGGUUCGGGUAAUCUUAUUAAUACCAGUCGUGUUAGGGAUAGUUCUUUGGAAUUUUGGAUCUUGAACGAGGAAUUUCUAGUAAGUGCAAGUCAUCAGCUUGCGUUGAUUAUGUCCCUGCCGUUUGUACACACCGCCCGUCGCUUGUAGUAACGAAUGGUCUGGUGAACCUUCUGGACUGCUUAGAAAUGAGCGGAAAAAUAAGUAAACCCUACCAUUUGGAACAACAAGAAGUCGUAACAAGGUAUCUGUAGGUGAACCUGCAGAUGGAUCAUUA